GCCCCGGCUGCCACCGCCGCCACCGUGGGCGCGGGGACCACGAACGCUGCUGGAUGAAUGUUCGUGGUGUUUGUGCUGGGGCAGGAUAAAGGCCAGUCAGUCACCUUCCAACGACAUUUUAGUCAUUGUGUCUUUCACUUACACAGCCCGGUUGUCUGAAAUAUGUCAGUGGAAAAAUGCUGACGUGAGCGUUCGUGUCCCAGGAAUUCAUGUACGCACUCCUUGGGAGCACUGUACAGCGCUGAGCCAUGGAAAACACACCCAUCAUAGAGAGAACAGUUGUAACUGCAGUGACACCAGUACUCCAUAUGGACAAGCAGUGGACUUCUGGGGUGACAGAGGACCUGCAGUGGAAGUAAAGGCAUGAAUGGUUGUCCUCAGGCCUGCAGGUACUGGCAAGGACUCUUUUCUCUCAUGGUUAAGAAGCAAAGGCCAAAGGCUCUGGGCAACAAGCUCUGGCAUAUUUAGCUGCUGUGUUUUAAGAUUUGAUUUCUCUCAACUGCCUGAGGUCAUAAUCAUUCUAGGAGAGUAAAACAAUUAAAGUAGGUAUUAUUUUAACAUGCCAGCCUGUAACCUGGAGUCUACACCGUAAGAGUGUAGUAAUACCUAACAGCAGAGUAAAAUAGACACUUGAGAGUGGUAAUGUCUUAAACUGAAUGUGUAACUCUGCCAAAACCCCUUAUCAGAGCUCUAAGCCUCAAAACGACCCAUCCCCAUUAUGCACUUACAGGUUAAGAAGCAUCUAGAAGACAAACCAGACUCUCCCCAGACUCUCUGUGUAACACACAGCCUACCAAAGAAUUCCUCUGGCCCGGUGUGCUGUGUGGGUGAAAGAAACGAGUUUGUCCUGCCUCGCUGCUCUCUUCUUGGCCUGAGAUCAGCACGUUGUUGAGCACGCAGCAGAUCGUGACCAGAGGCAAUGGCCUCUUUCAACAGCCCAGUAACACGUGCUGGGUUGAGAGCUGCUGACUUUAAAGGUGAGAAUGGUGAGGCACUGAGGAUUCCUGACUGGCAACUGCUCUCCACAUGAGCAUACAGCAGGGCACCUCACACACGUUUGACAAAGAAAGUUUGCAAAUAAAGAACUAGCUAUGGGGAAGCA
rnacentral:lncRNA from 1 species